rnacentral:rRNA from 1 species
UACGUAGGGUGCGAGCGUUAAUCGGAAUUACUGGGCGUAAAGCGUGCGCAGGCGGUUCGUUGUGUCGGUGGUGAAAUCCCCGGGCUUAACCUGGGAAUGGCCAUGGAAACUGGCGAACUGGAGUGCGGCAGAGGGGGGUGGAAUUCCGCGUGUAGCAGUGAAAUGCGUAGAGAUGCGGAGGAACACCGAUGGCGAAGGCAGCCCCCUGGGCUAGCAAUGACGCUCAGGCACGAAAGCGUGGGGAGCAAACAGG